GCCGCCCUGGCGCGGAAUCUCCCGGUGCUGGAGAUUCGCGCGAUCUCGAACCCGGUCGGUCCCCGCGACCGGGCGGCC
rnacentral:tRNA from 1 species